CACUUAUAGAUGGAUCCGCGCUGCAUUAGCUAGUUGGUAAGGUAACGGCUUACCAAGGCAACGAUGCAUAGCCGACCUGAGAGGGUGAUCGGCCACACUGGAACUGAGACACGGUCCAGACUCCUACGGGAGGCAGCAGUAGGGAAUCUUCCGCAAUGGGCGAAAGCCUGACGGAGCAACGCCGCGUGAGUGAUGAAGGUCUUCGGAUCGUAAAACUCUGUUAUUAGGGAAGAACAUAUGUGUAAGUAACUGUGCACAUCUUGACGGUACCUAAUCAGAAAGCCACGGCUAACUACGUGCCAGCAGCCGCGGUAAUACGUAGGUGGCAAGCGUUAUCCGGAAUUAUUGGGCGUAAAGCGCGCGUAGGCGGUUUUUUAAGUCUGAUGUGAAAGCCCACGGCUCAACCGUGGAGGGUCAUUGGAAACUGGAAAACUUGAGUGCAGAAGAGGAAAGUGGAAUUCCAUGUGUAGCGGUGAAAUGCGCAGAGAUAUGGAGGAACACCAGUGGCGAAGGCGACUUUCUGGUCUGUAACUGACGCUGAUGUGCGAAAGCGUGGGGAUCAAACAGGAUUAGAUACCCUGGUAGUCCACGCCGUAAACGAUGAGUGCUAAGUG
rnacentral:rRNA from 1 species